UUCUUUUUUUCUAGUAAAAGCUCACCUUUUAGCUAAAAACCUUUACCUAGGUACGUAGGGGGGUGCUGACCUUAUAUUUGACCUUUGCUACACACAGAUGCUGUAUUAAAGAGCCAUGCAUAGCCUGCUUUGGACAGCAGGCAUAACACUAGCCUAUAGUAGGUUACAGUUGAACAGCUACAUGUUCUACUCUGGACUUCAAUCUGGCAAAAGAAAAAUAGUCCACUCAACACUGAACAGCCCUAGAGUAGAACAUGGAAUUAUUGUAUUAUUUAGCUACAACAAAUCCUACAUGUACUAGAAA